rnacentral:rRNA from 1 species
GCCUACGGGAGGCAGCAGUAGGGAAUUUUCGUCAAUGGGCGCAAGCCUGAACGAGCAAUGCCGCGUGAACGAGGAAGGUCUUCGGAUCGUAAAGUUCUGUUGAAGGGGAAAAAGAGCGGAGAGAGGAAAUGCUUUCUGAUUGAUAUUACCCUUCGAGGAAGUCACGGCUAACUACGUGCCGGCAGCCGCGGUAAUACGUAGGUGGCGAGCGUUAUCCGGAAUGAUUGGGCGUAAAGGGUGCGUAGGCGGCCUGCUAAGUCUGGAGUGAAAGGUACCGGCUCAACCGGUACAGGCUCUGGAAACUG